AUGUGUAGGAUAGGUGGGAGGCUUAGAAGUGUGGACGCCAGUCUGCAUGGAGCCGACCUUGAAAUACCACCCUUUAAUGUUUGAUGUUCUAACGUUGACCCGUAAUCCGGGUUGCGGACAGUGUCUGGUGGGUAGUUUGACUGGGGCGGUCUCCUCCUAAAGAGUAACGGAGGAGCACGAAGGUUGGCUAAUCCUGGUCGGACAUCAGGAGGUUAGUGCAAUGGCAUAAGCCAGCUUGACUGCGAGCGUGACGGCGCGAGCAGGUGCGAAAGCAGGUCAUAGUGAUCCGGUGGUUCUGAAUGGAAGGGCCAUCGCUCAACGGAUAAAAGGUACUCCGGGGAUAACAGGCUGAUACCGCCCAAGAGUUCAUAUCGACGGCGGUGUUUGGCACCUCGAUGUCGGCUCAUCACAUCCUGGGGCUGAAGUAGGUCCCAAGGGUAUGGCUGUUCGCCAUUUAAAGUGGUACGCGAGCUGGGUUUAGAACGUCGUGAGACAGUUCGGUCCCUAUCUGCCGUGGGCGCUGGAGAACUGAGGGGGGCUGCUCCUAGUACGAGAGGACCGGAGUGGACGCAUCACUGGUGUUCGGGUUGUCAUGCCAAUGGCACUGCCCGGUAGCUAAAUGCGGAAGAGAUAAGUGCUG
rnacentral:rRNA from 1 species